rnacentral:rRNA from 1 species
AGUGAACGCUGGCGGUAGGCCUAACACAUGCAAGUCGAACGGCAGCACAGUAAGAGCUUGCUCUUACGGGUGGCGAGUGGCGGGCGGGUGAGGAAUACAUCGGAAUCUACUUUUUCGUGGGGGAUAACGUAGGGAAACUUACGCUAAUACCGCAUACGACCUACGGGUGAAAGCAGGGGAUCUUCGGACCUUGCGCGAUUGAAUGAGCCGAUGUCGGAUUAGCUAGUUGGCGGGGUAAAGGCCCACCAAGGCGACGAUCCGUAGCUGGUCUGAGAGGAUGAUCAGCCACACUGGAACUGAGACACGGUCCAGACUCCUACGGGAGGCAGCAGUGGGGAAUAUUGGACAAUGGGCGCAAGCCUGAUCCAGCCAUACCGCGUGGGUGAAGAAGGCCUUCGGGUUGUAAAGCCCUUUUGUUGGGAAAGAAAAGCAGCAGGUUAAUACCCCGCUGUCCUGACGGUACCCAAAGAAUAAGCACCGGCUAACUUCGUG